UGCAAGUCGUACGAGAGUUUUGAACUCAAGUGGCGGACGGGUGAGUAACACGUAAGAAUUUGCCUUUAGGAGGGGGACAACAACUGGAAACGGUUGCUAAUACCCCAUAUGCUUUCGAGUGAAACGGUUUUUCCGCCUAAAGAGAAGCUUGCGGCUGAUUAGCUUGUUGGUAAGGUAAUGGCUUACCAAGGCGACGAUCAGUAUCUGGUUUGAGAGGACGAUCAGACACACUGGAACUGAGACACGGUCCAGACUCCUACGGGAGGCAGCAGUGGGGAAUUUUCCGCAAUGGGCGAAAGCCUGACGGAGCAAUACCGCGUGAGGGAUGAAUGCCUAUGGGUUGUAAACCUCUUUUUUCAGGGAGGAAUCAAUGACGUUACCUGAAGAAUAAGCAUCGGCUAACUCCGUGCCAGCAGCCGCGGUAAUACG
rnacentral:rRNA from 1 species